rnacentral:rRNA from 1 species
AUUGAACGCUGGCGGCAGGCCUAACACAUGCAAGUCGAGCGGAUGAAGGGAGCUUGCUCCUGGAUUCAGCGGCGGACGGGUGAGUAAUGCCUAGGAAUCUGCCUGGUAGUGGGGGAUAACGUCCGGAAACGGGCGCUAAUACCGCAUACGUCCUGAGGGAGAAAGUGGGGGAUCUUCGGACCUCACGCUAUCAGAUGAGCCUAGGUCGGAUUAGCUAGUUGGUGGGGUAAAGGCCUACCAAGGCGACGAUCCGUAACUGGUCUGAGAGGAUGAUCAGUCACAAUGGAACUGGGACAAGGUCCAGAAUCCUACGGGAGGCCGCAGUGGGGAAUAUUGGACAAUGGGCGAAAGCCUGAUCCCGCCAUGCCGCGUGUGGGAAGAAGGUCUUCGGAUUGUAAAGCACUUUAAGUUGGGAGGAAGGGCAGUAAGUUAAUACCUUGCUGUUUUGACGUUACCAAAAGAAUAAGCAACGGCUAACUUCGUG